rnacentral:misc_RNA from 1 species
GAUGAAGAACGUAGCGAAAUGCGAUACGUAAUGUGAAUUGCAGCAUUCAGUGAAUCAUCGAGUCUUUGAACGCACAUUGCGCCCCCUGGUAUUCCGGGGGGCAUGCCUGUCCGAGCGUCAUUGCUGCCCUCAAGCACGGCUUGUGUGUUGGGCCUCCGUCCUCCUCCCGGGGGACGGGCCCGAAAGGCAGCGGCGGCACCGCGUCCGGUCCUCGAGCGUAUGGGGCUUCGUCACCCGCUCUUGUAGGCCCGGCCGGCGCUUGCCGACACAUCAAUCUUUUUUCCAGGUUGACCUCGGAUCAGGUAGGGAUACCCGCUGAACUUAAGCAUAUCAAUAAGCGGAGGA